rnacentral:rRNA from 1 species
ACGGCUCAGUAACACGUGGAUAACCUGCCCUUAGGACUGGCAUAACCCCGGGAAACUGGGGAUAAUUCCGGAUAGUUCAUGGUAGCUGGAAUGCUCCAUGAUCGAAAGCUAUUGCGCCUAAGGAUGGGUCUGCGGUCUAUCAGGUAGUAGUGGGUGUAAUGUACCUACUAGCCGACGACGGAUACGGGUUGUGGGAGCAAGAGCCCGGAGAUGGAUUCUGAGACAUGAAUCCAGGCCCUACGGGGCGCAGCAGGCGCGAAAACUUUACAAUGCGGGAAACCGCGAUAAGGGGACACCGAGUGCCAGCAUCUUAUGUUGGCUGUCCGCAUGUAUAAAUCACAUGUGUUAGCAAGGGCCGGGCAAGACCGGUGCCAGCCGCCGCGGUAACACCGGCGGCCCGAGUGGUGGCCACUAUUAUUGGGUCUAAAGGGUCCGUAGCCGGUUUGGUCAGUCUUCCGGGAAAUCUGACGGCUUAACCGUUAGGCUUUCGGGGGAUACUACCAGGCUUGGGACCGGGAGAGGUAAGAGGUACUACGGGGGUAGGAGUGAAAUCUUGUAAUCCUCGUGGGACCACCAGUGGCGAAGGCGUCUUACCAGAACGGGUCCGACGGUGAGGGACGAAAGCUGGGGGCACGAACCGGAUUAGAUACCCGGGUAGUCCCAGCCGUAAACUAUGCUCGCUAGGUGUCAGGGACGGUGCGACCGUUUCUGGUGCCGCAGGGAAGCCGUGAAGCGAGCCACCUGGGAAGUACGGUCGCAAGGCUGAAACUUAAAGGAAUUGGCGGGGGAGCACUACAACGGGUGGAGCCUGCGGUUUAAUUGGACUCAACGCCGGAAAACUCACCGGGGGCGACAGCAAUAUGUAGGUCAAGCUAAAGACUUUACCAGAAUCGCUGAGAGGAGGUGCAUGGCC